GAUGAAGAACGUAGCGAAAUGCGAUAAGUAAUGUGAAUUGCAGAAUUCAGUGAAUCAUCGAAUCUUUGAACGCACAUUGCGCCCGCCAGUAUUCUGGCGGGCAUGCCUGUUCGAGCGUCAUUACAACCCUCAGGCCCCCGGGCCUGGCGUUGGGGAUCGGCGGAGCCCCCCGUGGGCACAUGCCGUCCCCCAAAUGCAGUGGCGGUCCCGCCGCAGCUUCCAUCGCGUAGUAGCUAACACCUCGCGACUGGAGAGCGGCGCGGCCACGCCGUAAAACACCCAACUCUUCUGAAGUUGACCUCGAAUCAGGUAGGAAUACCCGCUGAACUUAAGCAUAUCAAUAAGCGGAGGA
rnacentral:misc_RNA from 1 species